rnacentral:rRNA from 1 species
GGAUCGUAAACCUCUUUUAUAAGGGAAUAAAGUGCGGGACGUGUCCCGCUUUGUAUGUACCUUAUGAAUAAGGAUCGGCUAACUCCGUGCCAGCAGCCGCGGUAAUACGGAGGAUCCGAGCGUUAUCCGGAUUUAUUGGGUUUAAAGGGUGCGUAGGCGGCCUUUUAAGUCAGCGGUGAAAGUCUGUGGCUCAACCAUAGAAUUGCCGUUGAAACUGGGGGGCUUGAGUAUGUUUGAGGCAGGCGGAAUGCGUGGUGUAGCGGUGAAAUGCUUAGAUAUCACGCAGAACCCCGAUUGCGAAGGCAGCCUGCCAAGCCAUGACUGACGCUGAUGCACGAAAGCGUGGGGAUCAAACAGGAUUAGAUACCCUGGUAGUCCACGCAGUAAACGAUGAUCACUAGCUGUUUGCGAUACAGUGUAAGCGGCACAGCGAAAGCGUUAAGUGAUCCACCUGGGGAGUA